rnacentral:lncRNA from 1 species
GUGUAAAUAUCAUAUAAACAUAUUCCAGCUGCAGGUAUGAAUAACAAUUUCACACUGCAGUGAUAUAUCCUGUGAUCAAAACAGAAAAUACAUUUAGGAAAAUGUAAUUGGUGUAAAAAUAAGGACACUCCAGUAUUUAAUUGUUAAGCUUCACAAGGGAUUGGGACUUAUAUUCCAUGUAUAGAUCAUGAAAAAAAUAUCCUAUAUAAGUAGAAUAUUGAACAGAUCUCAGUCCUAUCAUUUGAUAUCACAGUUUAUCAGAUGAGUAAGGAUGUCGGCUGAUUGAUUCAUCAUUGAUCUGUUUAAUUCAAGAAAACAUCACUCAUAUCCCAACUAAUCAUUCAAUUUUGAUUGGUUACCUUGUAAGGGUAUUAUUGGUCCAUAUACUCUGAUCAAUACAGAAGAUACAUAUAUAGGAACUGAAAUUCGUGUAAAAAUCCGGGAAGUCAAAUAUAAUAUAAUUGUUCAGCUUCACAAGGGAUAUGUAUGGACUUGUAUUCCCUAUGAAGAUCACGAAAAAUUUUCAAAUAUCAAAUAGAAUAUCGAACAGAUCUCAGUCCUAUCAUUUGAUAUCACAGAUUUAUCAGAUGAGUAAGGAUGUCGGCUGAUUAUAUUCAUCACAGAUCUGUUUUCUCCUAGAUGACAUCACUUAUUAUUUCCAUCUAUGGUUUGCAGUGUUGAUUAUCUCAAUAUAAAAUCUUAAGUACAAGGUACAUG